GACGAACGCUGGCGGCGUGCUUAACACAUGCAAGUCGAACGGAAAGGCCCUGCUUGCAGGGUGCUCGAGUGGCGAACGGGUGAGUAACACGUGGGUGAUCUGCCCCUUACUUUGGGAUAAGCCUGGGAAACUGGGUCUAAUACUGGAUAGGACCAUGAUGUAGGAGGUGUGGUGGAAAGAUUAGUUUCGGUGAGGGAUGAGCUCGCGGCCUAUCAGCUUGUUGGUGGGGUAAUGGCAUACCAAGGCGUCGACGGGUAGCCGGCCUGAGAGGGUGGACGGCCACAGUGGGACUGAGAUGCGGCCCAGACUCCUACGGGAGGCAGCAGGGGGGAAUAUUGCACAAUGGGCGCAAGCCUGAUGCAGCGACGCCGCGUGGGGGAUGACGGCCUUCGGGUUGUAAACUCCUUUCAGCCAUGACGAAGCCCUUGUGGUGACGGUAGUGGUAGAAGAAGCACCGGCUAACUACGU
rnacentral:rRNA from 1 species